rnacentral:rRNA from 1 species
AGCGAACGCUGGCGGCAGGCUUAACACAUGCAAGUCGAGCGGGCAUCCUUGUGGUGUCAGCGGCAGACGGGUGAGUAACGCGUGGGAACGUGCCCUUCGGUUCGGAAUAACUCAGGGAAACUUGAGCUAAUACCGGAUACGUGCGAGAGCAGAAAGGUUUAUCUGCCGAAGGAUCGGCCCGCGUCUGAUUAGCUAGUUGGUGAGGUUACGGCUCACCAAGGCGACGAUCAGUAGCUGGUCUGAGAGGAUGAUCAGCCACACUGGGACUGAGACACGGUCCAGACUCCUACGGGAGGCAGCAGUGGGGAAUAUUGGACAAUGGGGGCAACCCUGAUCCAGCCAUGCCGCGUGAGUGAUGACGGCCUUAGGGUUGUAAAGCUCUUUUCUCCGGGACGAUAAUGACGGUACCGGAGGAAUAAGCCCCGGCUAACUUCGUG